rnacentral:rRNA from 1 species
UACAGAGGUCCCAAGCGUUGUUCGGAUUUAUUGGGCGUAAAGGGUGCGUAGGUGGCGCCAUAAGUCAGGUGUGAAAUCUCGGGGCUCAACCCCGAAACUGCACUUGAUACUGUGGUGCUCGAGUACUGGAGAGGAGAUUGGAAUUUACGGUGUAGCAGUGAAAUGCGUAGAUAUCGUAAGGAAGACCAGUGGCGAAGGCGGAUCUCUGGACAGUUACUGACACUGGAGCACGAAGGCCAGGGGAGCAAACGGGG